CAGCAGGUGGCGCUAGUGCACUGUUUUAGUUUGGGAUCUGCUGUUAGAAGGAAGAAGAAGGAGAAAGCAGGUGUGUUUGUGCUUCACAUUCCUGUCCAGUUGGUGGUGCUGAUGCACGAGAUCUGUUGUUAACUGCACUUUGAUUUUCUCCAAGAUGAAGUCGUGUCAGGUGACAAACAUCAAUCGUGAAGAUCGCACAGGUGUUUAACAGCGAUCACAAACCGGAAGUGUUUGAAAGACUUCUGGAUUCUGUUCCUGCAGCACAAGAUCGUCUGAACUACUGCAAGUCAUGAUGAGCAUCUGAUCGUCUUCAGAGACACAAAGAUCUCAGUGUUGAGCUGUUCAUCUGCAGUCUGUCAGAGAAGAGAUGAAAGAUGAGUCUCUCACACAAACAGAGAAAACAACUAUCUUGAAGAGCAACAGCACUUUCAAAAAAGGAAAACUCUAAAAAUAUAUUUGUUCAAAUCAAAACAUGAACGUGAUAGUUCCCUAUCAAUCCUUGACUUGUACUGCAUCGAUAGACUCUUUUGGGGAAAACUCCUUUUUCUCAGAGGACUGAAGACUUAUUCAAUCACGCAGUAUAACUGCACAACCAUUGGUUCACGCAGUGAUUAUAAAAAUGAACCAAUGACUAUGAUUGAGCCAGAAUAAAAGUUAUGCCUUCUUUCUUUGUGUGAACACCUGGGCGGAGUUAUGCAAAUCUUCCCACGUAGUGAUGUAGAGAUGUGGGGCGUAUUUGAAUGAGGUGUUUCAGGGGGAUGUGGACGAGCCUUAACUUUUAUAAAGAAUAUCUCUUUUGAUUUGAGACUUUAGUUUUUGCAAGUUUACAGAUCUUCUUUAUGCUCCCCUAAGAGCUUGUAACACUCCACAGAGACAGGAAUAAUUGAAAUCACAUCAUAUGACCCCUUUAAUAUCACUGUUGAAAAAUGAGUUGUGCUAUUUUAUUUAGGUUUUUUAUGAAUAUAAUUUCAAAAGAACAAUGUUUAUUUGAAAUAGAAUUCAUCAUAAAUGUCAAUACUGUCACUUUCAAUCUUUUUAAAGCAUCCUUGCUGAAUAAAAGUAAUUGAAGUCUAUUCAUGCUAACAGCAAACCUUUAAAUGGAUAUAUUUAUUAGGAGUUCGGGAGUCAGUUCGGGAGUUCGGAGCGGGUCUGCGAAUCAUUUGAGUCAGUUCGCGGAUCGCGAAUCAUUUGAGUAAGUUUGGGAGUUCGAAGCUGGAUAGCGAAUCAUUUGAGUCAGUUCGGGGAUCGCGAAUCAUUUUGAAUCCAUUUGAAAGUUCGGAGCGGGUUCGCGAAUCAUUUGAGUCAGUUUGGGGAUAGCGAAUCAUUUUAGUCAGUUCGGGAGUUCAAAGCGGGUUCGCGAAUCAUUUGAGUCAGUUUGGGGAGCGCGAAUCAUUUGAAUCAAUUCGAGAGUUCGGAGCGAGUUCGCGAAUCAUUUGAGUCGGUUCGGGAGUUCGGAGCGGGAUCGCGAAUCAUUUGAGUCAGUUCGGGAGUUCGUAGCGGGUUCGCGAAUCAUUUGAGUCAGUUUGGGGAUCGCGAACCAUUUGAAUUAGUUCGGGAGUUCGUAGCGGGAUCGCGAAUCAUUUGAGUCAGUUUGGGAAUCGCGAAUCAUUUGAGUCAGUCUGGGGAUCGUGAAUCAUAGCUGUAUAUGGAUAGGAAUUUUAACUAAUUUAGUAGCUAGUUCUAAUUACGUUUUCCACGUGUGUUUAGGUGCGAUAUGUGAACUCGUAUUUUUUGUUUUAAAAAUGUGUUAUUUUUAAAUUACUGGGUUAAAAACUGGACACAAUAUAUAUUUUGUUUUUGAGCAACAUACAGAAUGUUAGAAAGAUAAUUAGUUUAUUUAUUAAUUUUUUUAUCUGUU